GACGAACGCUGGCGGCGUGCUUAAUACAUGCAAGUCGAGCGAACAGAUGAGGAGCUUGCUCCUCUUACGUUAGCGGCGGACGUGUGAGUAACAUGUGGAUAACCUACAUAUAAGACUGGGAUAACCUCGGGAAAUCGGAGCUUAUAACGGAUAAUCUAUUGAAACGUAUUGUUCAUUAGUGAAAGACGGUUUUGCUGUCUAUUAUAGAUGGCUCUGAGCUGCAUUAUCUAGUUGGUAAGGUAAUGGCCUACGAAGGCAACGAUGCGUACCCGACCUGUGAGGGUGAUCGGCCGCACGGGAACGGAGACACGAACAAGACUCCUACGAGAGGCAGCAGUAUGGAAUGUGCCGCAAUGGGCGAAAACCUGACGGAGCGACGCCGCGUGAGUGAUGAAGGUCGUCUGAUCGUAAAACUCUGUUAUUAGGGAAGAACAAAUGUGUAAGUAACUAUGCACGUCUUGACGGUACCUAAUCAGAGAGCCACGGCUAACUACGUG
rnacentral:rRNA from 1 species